AUAGCAGGUGCUCAGAAAGAUGUGUUGAACUGAGCUGAUGUAGGGUGAAUACAGACACAGAUCACACAUGAAGCCAGGUGAGCCUUGGCCCAGGCAUGCCCUCUGGGAGAGGCGGGGGAUAAAUGAGAGGAUGCUGCCCCCUCUUUUUCUAUCAAGAAAGCCUUCCUGGAGCAGAUGCAGCUUGCCUCCGUUUGGGAGCGCUCUGGACACUUCUGUCCUUCUGCUGGACCACCACAGGACACCAAGCAGGCUUCCCUGUCCUCUGUCCUCCCUCCCACCUUCUUUUGUGCUAAGUCCUCCAAUCGUCAAGGCCUGGUGUUCUAUUGGUGACCACUCUCUCUGCUGGUUAAAAAGCCCAUUCUCAGAAGGACUGUUCAGUGUGGCUGACCUUCACUCAGCAGGGUCUGUGACUCCCAGGUGUGAAGCCACUGGCGGAGUAUCCAGGGGCCGAGGGCUGAUGCAUUUCUCCUCAUCCACCUCACUCUGACCCCGGAUGCCAGUUAACCCAGGAGAGGUCCCUGAACACAACCCCGAUGCAAGCAAAGGUAAGUUCAUAAGUUCUCAAUGCCUAAGGGAUAGAACGUGGCAAAUCUGGACUCAGAGCCUAAACCAAGCAGAAAAGUAACAGUAACAAUUCUGAGGCUGGGAAGACCAGCUUGGGAAAGUUGCAAGCGCUGAAGCAUUUUCAAUUCUUAAAAUGCACCAGCACCACACUGCCCCACCCUGAGCAGAGGAAAAGAAAAUCAAUUCUUCCAUGGCAAAAACGAAAUAAAGUGCUCAGCUGGUUAAAACUGCUGUUGCAGGAAGAAGCAAGCCCUCUGAGACGGGGUUGCCAGAAAAACACAGGAUGCCCAGUUAAAUGUGGAUUGUAGAUAAACAAGAAAACAAUCUUUAGUAUAAGUAUGUCCCCUGAAAUACUGGGGACAUACUUAUACUAAAAAUUAUUGCUUACUUAGCUGAACUUCAAAUAUAAUUGGGCCUCCUCUACUUUGCCUGGCAACCCUGCUCUGACAGGUAGAGGCCACUGCUGAAUCUCUGCUGUGUGUUCUGUUCACAGGUGGUGGACAAUACGGAGGAGGAUGAAGAGGCAUGGUCCACCACAACAGGUUGCCCAGAGAGGCUGUAGAGAGUUUAAAAGGAAGGAGUGAGAGGGAUCACCAGACCAUGAAGUAGGUACAAAGGUAUUCCUGUCCAAAAUACCAAAGACUUGGGAACAGCAUAAAUGUUUCACAUCAGGAAAAUGGUUUGAAGUGAUGGUAUGUUUACAUGAUGGAAUAUCAGGCAGACACUAGAUAGUAUGUUUGGGAGGAAACUUCAACAACUUUGAAAACAAAAUGCCCACCUUCUCUGUCUCUGAAGGGCCCUGAGCUCCCUGGACCCACACAGUUGGACGAUGAGGGCUUUUAUCCUAUAGUUAACUCCUGAAGAUGAAUCCAGGCCUUUAAAGUUGGCCCCUGCAGGUUCACAUCUCAGUUCUGUGGCUUCCUAGCUGUGCCAUCUUCGAAAAGUUAUCUUUCUGUGCCUCAAUUGUCCCAUCUCUAAAUGGGGCCAAUAUGGGCCAAUCUCAUAGGGUUCCUGUGAGGAUCAGGAUGUGAUAAACACUCAGGACAAUGCCCGGGACAUGGUAAUAGCUUGGUAAGCAUCAGCUCGGUGUCCAUUAGCUGUGAUUUCUCCCAUUUCCCACAAGAAGGCUGAAGGACAAAACCGUGGAGAAAGUACAAGCAUACCUGGGAGAUACCGAGGGUUCAGAUCCAGACCACCACAAUCAAGCAUGGAAAUUAAGGCUCAAGAAGGUGACUUGCCCAAGACUUCAUAGCCCACAACUGCUGGAGGUGGGAUUUGAACUCGUCUGCGAGGUUCGAAAUCACCCCAGCCCAGUGCCUGCUCCUGACAGAGACUCAGCAAGUGCAGCUCUGCGUGUUUCCUCCAUCACAGAGGCCUGCUUAGGGGAAAAAUCUUGCUGAAGAAAAGUGGCCGAUGGUUUCGAGAGAAGAGACGCUUAUUCAUGUAAUUCUCAAGAAUCCCAUCUCCGGCUUAGAAGGACACCUUUUCUGAUUUCCCAUUCAAAGGGACUGACGUACACUCAGGGGCUGAGGCAGCAGCUGUUUUUGCUGUGCACAGACUGGAGAGCGAUGUGUGAGUGAAGUCUGUGGCCACUUCUCUCCUCCCCCGAGCCUUCUGGGGUUUGGGUUUAUGACUCCAGAGGCGGAGAAGCGUGUUCCCUUUCUGUGCGGAUCCCGUCAUUGACAGAGUCUGUUUUAGAAGAGCAUUUUUAGAUGGCAGCGAACGUUCCAGACCCCAAAGCAUUCUCUUUACAGCACCGUCUAGCUUGGGUGGGGAUAGGGUGGGUUUGUGAACACGUGUGUGCGUGAGAGUGUGAGUGUGUGCAAGUGUGUGCACGUGUGUGUCAGUCCCUCUGUCUGGCUCCCACUGCUAGCCACCUCUGUCAUAUCCUGACUAUUUCGCCGGGGCAUCGUCCAGCCAUAGGAAUCUUCAGCAAACCUACAGUUCAGACGAACGCCCUCGUUUCUGCCCUGAGAAGAAAGUCCGUUGAGUCUGAGGGCUCCCGAGUCAUUCUCUCAAGGCAUUCAUUCAGUUUUGUUUCCCCUGGUGCUACCCUCUCUGAAGUCGUUAUUACUCAUUAGGUGUAUUGCACAUACAGAAAAAGUAGGUCAAGGAUUAAAAAAAAAAAGAAAAAACAUCUCUGGGAGAAGCACAAGUAUUGUGUAAAGCUAUUUUGAACUUGCGUGAGAUUUUUCAAGGGGGAAAUGUUUUGUGCAGAGACGGCUGCUGCCACAGCUGACUUACCAAUGAAUGCCCGUGUCUGAGCCUUUCAUACGCUAACCACGUGACCUUGGAAUUCCAUUUUGAAAUGAUAAUUGUGCCCAGUGGGGUGAGCAGCCUCUCAAUCCAGGUUCUAUACAAUAUAGGUCACCUCGAGGAUCCUCAGUAGAACAGGAACAAGAGAAUCCUGAGAAAUCUCUGUAAAGAAACAGAAAGAAUGAGAGAGAAAACUGUGUGUCUAACCACCGGGCCCCUGGGCCCUAUGUGCCACCCAGGUUUGGAGCAAGGCUGCGGGGCAGAUGAUGUCCAGGAGAGCCUCAGAAAGUCCGGGCUCUAGAAAAAAAUACGUUCCAGCUCACUCUGCUCUGACCCUGCAUCUGCUCUGUGCUGAAAGCUUUGUUGCUGCCAUGAAUAUAUUUAAGGGGAAUAAAAUGUGCAGUGUCAAAGCGACUGGCUUGAAGUGGGC
rnacentral:lncRNA from 1 species